UACGUAGGGGGCGAGCGUUGUCCGGAUUUAUUGGGCGUAAAGCGCACGUAGGUGGUUCGGUUAGUCGGAUGUGAAAUUCCGGGGCUCAACCCCGGGACGCCAUUCGAUACUGCCGGACUCGAGGCAGGUAGGGGAGAGUGGAAUUCCUGGUGUAGCGGUGAAAUGCGUAGAUAUCAGGAGGAACACCGGUGGCGAAAGCGGCUCUCUGGGCCUGUCCUGACACUCAUGUGCGAAAGCUGGGGGAGCGAACAGG
rnacentral:misc_RNA from 1 species